rnacentral:rRNA from 1 species
AGCGAACGUUUGCGGCGGGCUUAACACAUGCAAGUCGAACGGGCUGUUCCUUCGGGGGCAGUCAGUGGCGCACGGGUGCGUAACACGUAGGUAAUCAACCCUCUGGUUGGGGAUAACACUUCGAAAGGAGUGCUAAUACCCGGUAUGGCGCAGCGGUCUUCGGAUCGCGGCGAGAAAGACCCGCAAGGGUUGCCAGAGGACGAGCCUGCGGCCCAUCAGCUAGUUGGCGAGGUAACGGCUCACCAAGGCGAAGACGGGCAGCUGGUCUGAGAGGAUGAUCAGCCACACUGGAACUGAGACACGGUCCAGACUCCUACGGGAGGCAGCAGUGGGGAAUAUUGCGCAAUGGGCGAAAGCCUGACGCAGCCACGCCGCGUGAGCGAUGAAGGCCUCGGUCGUAAGAC